UACAGAGGUCUCAAGCGUUGUUCGGAUUCAUUGGGCGUAAAGGGCGCGUAGGCGGCGCAACAAGUCACUUGUGAAAUCUCCGGGCUUAACCCGGAGCGGUCAAGUGAUACUGUCGUGCUAGAGUGCGGAAGGGGCUACUGGAAUUCUCGGUGUAGCGGUGAAAUGCGUAGAUAUCGAGAGGAACACCUGCGGCGAAGGCGGGUAGCUGGGCCGACACUGACGCUGAUGCGCGAAAGCCAGGGGAGCGAACGGG
rnacentral:rRNA from 1 species